rfam:Gossypium arboreum cultivar AKA8401 contig_40503_5, whole genome shotgun sequence.
UAACAACAUCUAACCCUAGGUUGAUUAAUUGAAAUCUCUAUAACCUUGGGAAAAGGAUUGGCUCUGAGGGCUAGGCACGGGGGUCCCAGUCCUGAACCCGUUGGCUACCGGUGCACUACUAGAGCUGCUUCCGCGGGGAGAGCUGGUCGCCGCGUACCGACUGAGGGACGGACUGGGAACAGCUCCUUUGGAGGCCUUCCUCGGGCGACGAGCAGUCAACUCAGAACUAGUACAGACAAGGGGAAUACGACUGUUUAAUUAAAACAAAGCAUUGCGAUGGUCUCUGCGGAUGCUCACGCAAUGCGAUUUCUGCCCAGUGCUCUGAAUGUCAAAGUGAAGAAAUUCAACCAAGUGCGGGUAAACAGCGGGAAUAACUAUGACUCUCUUAAGGUAGCCAACUGCCUCGUCAUCUAAUUAGUGACGCGCAUGAAUGGAUUAAUGAGAUUCCUAUUGUCUAGGUCUACUAUCCCGCGAAACCAUAGCCAAGGGAACGGGCUUGGUAGAAUCAGUGGGGAAAGAAGACUCGGUUGAGCUUGACUCUAGUCCGACUUUGUGAAAUGACUUGAGAGGUGUAGGAUAAGUGGGAGCUCUCGGGCGAAAUUGAAAUACCACUACUUUUAACGUUAUUUUACUUAUUCCGUAAAUUAGAGGCGGGGCACGACCUCUCUUUUUGGACCCAAGGUUGGCUUCGGUCGGCUGAUCCGGGCGGAAGAUAUUGUCAGGUGGAGAGUUUGGCUGGGGUGGCACAUCUAUUAAAAGAUAACGCAGGUGUCCUAAGAUGAGCUCAUCGAUAACAGAAAUCUCAUGUGGAACAAAAGGGUAAAAGCUCGUUUGAUUCUGAUUUCCAGUACGAAUAUGAACCGUGGAAGCGUGGACUAUCGAUCCUUUAGACCUUCGGAAUUUGAAGCUAGAGGUGUCAGAAAAGUUACCACAAGGAUAACUGGCUUGUGGCAGCUAAGAGUUCAUAGCGACGUUGCUUUUCGAUCCUUCGAUGUCGGCUCUUCCUAUCAUUGUGGAGCAGAAUUCACCAAGUGUUGCAUGUCCAGUACCCAACAAUGAAUGAAUUGUCCCUGUCCCUCCCUUUUUGCAAUAAGAGCCUCCGGCACCUUUGGCCCCCGGUCGUGCGAUAGCCUCGUACACUAUCGGCAGCGUGUGCCAUCCCGUGGUGCGGGGCCAUCGUGCACCAUCGGCCCCUUUAAUGUGUCGGAGCAUUGGGCAACAUCGGUACCUUGGUGCAUCGGAUGUGCAGAAGGGUCGAGCACCAAAGCUAAUUUUGGGCCCCCGUUGGUGCAGAAGCUUCGGCACCAUAAAGUGUCCCUGUUUUAGACACAUGAAUGUCCCCUGGUAGCACAUUGACCAAGUUUUUUUAGCUCUUUAGGGGGGAGGUGAUUUUGAGGGGAAUAGGGGUUGUCCAAGGCACUGCCCACGCCCAUUUCAUGCCCAGACAUCGGUGCCCCCAUCGUCGGUUAGGUUUACGGCGGUGCUCCAGCGGUCUAUCCCGGUAGUGCUCUGGCGAGCCAUCUAGACGGUACUCCGGUGAGCCAUCCUAGAAUAUCAAAAAUGAUGCUUCAAGUCGUCCCAAUCCCUCCCUUUUUGAAUCAUCCAAGACCCUUUCCUUUUGGAAUAAGAGCCUCCGACACCUUCGGCCCUUGGUCGUGCCAGAGCAUCAGGCACCCUUGGUAACCUAGGACGUCGAUAGUGCGG